AUAAGCAGCAGGAACCAGAUAUCAUUCUAAAUGGAGCAGAGGAGGUACCGUCAAGGAUCUCAAGUCCUUUUUUGUGGGCAGACUUGACACCUUGUCAUCAAAUUUACAUGAAUGAACAUUAAUGAUGUACAUGUACUUAAAUGUCUAUCUCUUUCUCUAGUAAUUCUGUAACUCUCAUGUGUACUACUUGUGGUGUUUGCAAAGUCUCUCUUCUCAGGGAAUUCUGUAACAAAACAGGAGUACAGAUUACAUUGAAGGAUUACAAAUUUUCCUUGACUGCUCCAUUCAAUGAAGGUGAUCUUGCCUGUAUUGUACCUGUUGUUAAGCACACUGAUUUUAAAGUGAUCUAAUUUUUUUGGAAUUCUAAUCCAGUGAAAUUAAAA